AUGACUGAUCCCCGUGAGCAGAGGGCGGCGGCGGGACCGGGGGCUCUGGGCCAACGGGUAAAGCCAGGAGGAAGCCCACUUUCCCCGUCGGGCUCCCCCCUUUUCAGGGCCAAAGCAGCUCAGAUUCGGAAGCCGGCUUCAGCCAGAUUACCGAGGGGCUCCACGCCUGGAGGCACAGCUGCAGCAUGGGCCCGCUCGUGGCUUUGCAGAAAGCAUAUAAUGACACACUUCUCUGGAAGCCCGGGGCCUGGGCCCAGAACCCUGGCUUCUGCCAAACUUUCUGGUCCUUGAUACCAACUCCCCGCCUCUCUGCCUGAGGCCACAGCGGCCCAGCACCCUGCACCUUUUAAAGUGGCACCAAAAAGGAAGAAGCGAAAUAGAUGAGGGUGGUGGGCGCGAGUGCAGGAAGCUGUGAGGUUGAAAGAUGACUGCUUUUUGAACUGAGAAAGAACAAAAUACUAAGCGAGAAACUCCUUCCAAAGCAACUGGAACUCGAGUUCUAAUUCUUUGCAAUUGAGGCUCCCAGUUACCAUCUUCAGAGAAAGGAGCUCCUCAAAAGAGGAACAGUUUAUUCUUUGCGGAAUGUCUUAUUAAGAAGAAAAUUAAAGAUUAGAAAAGAAAAUGAAGGGUCUGGGAGCUGAGCACCUAAUGGUGCCCUAACGUUUGCUAUUCUGACGCCGAGAGUGCCAGAUGGGGAGAAAGCCAUGAGCUUUUCAGCUUGUGUAUUUUGUGAGAAACUCGGGAGUGAAGAGAAGACUAAGGCCUUGAGACUGAGAAGGAAGCUAUAAAAUGUGGGCCAAGGGAAUGUCUGCAGGACCGGGUUUCAGGCCACCCUAUCGUCACGGAUGAAGAGCCACUAACAGCUUUUUUUCUUUACAUUUUAUAGUAGUCAGAUUCCUGGUUGGCACUUUGGGGAAGGAAUAAGCAUUAAGCGACUUUAACCAAGUAAAAUGUAUAGUCCUGCCCAUUGCAGUCCCAUAGCUCAUUUUCCCAGAGACACCUAUUUUUCACUCUUAAUUCAUUUUAUUAAAGUGUAUUGUAAACCUAC